AAAGUUGAACUAGAAACACUAAUUUGAAAUACGGUACUUAAAAAAUAAUGUGAAGUCCUUUCACUCCCUGGAGAUGUCUGGUUUCCCGAACAAAUGGAUGGAUUAUAACAAGCCAUUGUGUAUUAUUUUCUGUUUGUCAAUGACCUAGUUCCAGUGCUGUCUGUGAUACUUAACUGGGAAUAUAAAGCUUGGGGUAGAUCUUCAGCUGGAAUAAUUCAGCCCUGCUCACUGUACCAACACACAGUCGGAGGAAAGCAUCUUUCAGUGAACACACAACACUCAGGAAGUUUCAUUUCUUGGCUUGAAUAAAAUGAGAAAGAAAGAUGUCCUUCCAACAUCAGCAAACAGCUAUCUUUUUCAUAUCAAGAAUGGAGCUUGGAUGAAGACGCUCUGAUUUUUUGAAGCCAUAAACAAACAGAAGGAGACGCCACGUCACCCAGCAGCCGGGCACUGAGUGGGCAGUGGGAAAACCCAAGUCCUGCUGCUGGCCUCAUCCCUGAAAGUCUCCCUAAAAAGCCUUAUUUAAAUCAAUGCACUCUUCUUUGUUUCGCUCCACCCCUUGGCUGUUCUACCCCUGUACCUGGAUGCUUUGUAGGACAGAGGCAUGGUCAUUGAGUGGGACUCAUUCUGCACAAAGGGCUCCUCAGGCUGUAGGAACAUAUUCCAGUGCAUUACUGCAUAAAAUCCCUACUAUUCUGGAAGUUUUAGACAACAAAUAGCAAAGCAACAAUCUUUCUGUUUAGAAGCAGGAUGCAUAGAUGGGACUGAACAUGCUCAGGCAGCAUGAGUGCCAUAGCACCUAGGAGCACCAACCUCGCGGAGUGCAAAUCUAGGUAUUUUCGUGGUUGUCCAGGCUGUGAGCACAGAUGAGCGCUCCGUCCCCAAAUCAGAUGAUGCAGAUGCACUGCAACCCUUUCAGCGCAUUAGGGCAAUCCCUCUCCCUGCCCUUAAAACUCUCCCUUAAUUCAUGCUGGAAGCACAACUUGCUGUCACUUUGGACAGGGACGCAGGUAUUUUAAGGUAAACAGAAGUAAAAGAAAUCUAUAGGGGAGGUGGGCGAUUUCCAAAAGUGCCUGUCCCCCUGCCACCAGGGCAGCUCCCAUGGGAGCGGCCGAGGCCCGCUGAGGACGUCAGAGGGAGAGCCCCCCCUCUGAAUGGGUAGGAUGCUCGCUUGAAAAGCCGGUGGAUGCCAUGCUGUGUACACGCACUGUGCACUAUAAAUAGUAAUGUCUUCUCCGCUCCUCUCCAUGGAAAAAUCGGCAGGAGGGGAAAUAGUCUCAAAUCUGUGUCGUUUUCAAGCCAAAGAGAGCCAGGCUCAUUCUCUCCUCGGUGGGGAAGCCGUAGGUGGGGGGUAUGCCCCCAUAACCCUGUGGAGGCUGAGCAGCCAGAGGAUGAAGCGGGUUCCAGAUAAUGAAGCUGGGAGGAAGAGCUGCCCCCCCAGCCCUGCCAAGCAAGGAGACAGCCGCUGCGGAGGGUUCGCCUGGCGUCGUUCUGCAGGCGGCAUUAACUGCCACAUGGCUCCUCGAUCCCAAAAACGGCCCCGCGCACGGGGAGCACGCCCCAAAGAGCAGCUGCUCCCUGACACCGCUACUCCACAAAUCCCAGGGGGCUGCAGUGUGGAAACAUCACCGAGGACUCCCAAGGAGAGCAGAGAGCACUGCAGCAUGAUCUGCCUUCGUGUAGUGGAUAGCAGUGCCCUCGUUUUAUUUUUUCUUCCCCGGGAGCAUAAUUAGGACCACAUCUGCGAAGUUCAGCAGUAACACUGACACAAGAGCAGUGCCACUGCUCCUGCUCCCCAAGAUGCUUGCUCCAAGCAAGUUGCCUGGCAAAGUACUCACCCACGCAAUUCUGUGGCUCUGUUACAAAGCCAACCAUGGCACGAGUGUUUUCAAGUAGAAGAACAAAAGUAUGAGAAAGGAAAAGGCUUCACACAUCUUUAGUGUGGAGAAUGUAUUUAGUGCUCCCAGAAGCUAUUAGAUGGGGUGAUAUGGGCAAUUUAUUGUUUUGUCAAUAUCUUUUAUUUUGAUUUAAUAACUUACAAAAACUAGAGUCUAUCUGUAGCACAGCCUCAACUUCCUUUAUACAACCCCACUUAACUUUCAAACACUUUAACUUUCAGGUCAAAUCUCUGUCACAUUGAUAAAUGGAUCUAUUUAAAUUUUUAUCAGCAAAGAAUUCUCUCUGGUGUCUUAUUCGCUAUCAGAUUUCAUGCACAAAAUAACAGGAUACUUAUUAUUUUUUGUUAUCCACCACACACCACACACACACAAAAUCACAACAGAAAGCACAGAUGUCUUUGCAAAAUAUCCGUAAUUUAUAUGGAGACGCACGUGUGAGUGCAGGGAAGAUCUUGCAUUUCUAUAGAGAGUGUACGGCUUAUAUUGAUUAUUAGCUUAAAACAGAGACUUAUCAGCUCUCAUUUAAGUGUACCAUGUCAUUGCUACCACAUACUUGGGUAUUGCCAAUAUGGGUGUCCUGCAAUGCUGUAAUGUAUCACACCUACAGACAUUUCAUAUGGAGAGAGGUACAAUAUUUCUGGGAAUAAUGUGUAAAACACAAGGCAGAAAAACCUACUAUGGGGUAUAUACACUAGCCACUACCUAUCCCUGUGUUAACAAGUAAACAAGUCAAAUCAUUUUAUUCUCAUGCUCGUGAGGCAUUACUAUACAAGAAAUAGGGGCUUGGAGCGUUGUUUAAUCUUAUUUGGCUAUCUGACUAUUGCUUCAUUAAGCAAACCAGGGAAAAACUGCUGCAAAGUCAACACGUUUUUAGGUGUUAUUGUAAAUAAUCACCUGGUUUUCCUGCCAAUAAUCAGGACCAAAACUAUAAUCCUUAUAGCCCUAAGUAUGCUAUAUAUGUUUAACCUUUACUUUAAAAUGGUAUUAAAUACUGAACACUGUGGCUACUGUAAAGAUAGUAAAAACAGAUACUGGAGGAAUAUAACAGUGUUUAAUGACAAGUUACAAAGAGUUCUACUGAAAGAAAAGCAAGAGCAAGAGAGGUUAAAUAAACAGAAACCACAGUGCCUCCGAUCUUACAUUAACUUUCAAUAACUAGAAAGUAAAAUUUAUGCUAUAUAUGAUUAGAUUUCUCUGAUCUUUACAUUAAAUAUUUACUUCUAACUAUAAACUUAUGUGAGACCCAAACAAAAACUAAUUUGCAUUAUUAAUGAUGCAAGAAAUGUGAUGCUUAGUCUCUUAAGAUUUGUAAUAAAGAAGAAAAUAUGCUAAAGA